CCCUUAGAUGUUCUGGGCCGCACACGCGCUACACUGAAGGAGGCAGCGUGUACUCCUGGAUCGAAAGAUUUGGGUAACCCGCGAAUCUCCUUCGUGCUAGGGAUUGAGGUUUGCAAUUAUCCUUCAUGAACGAGGAAUUCCCAGUAAGUGCAAGUCAUAAGCUUGCGCUGACUACGUCCCUGCCCUUUGUACACACCGCCCGUCGCUACUACCGAUUGAAUGAUUUAGUGAGGACUUCGGACUGGGACCGAUGCGGCUUUCGGGCUGCGUCGGUAUUCUGGAAAGAUGUCCAAACUGUAUCAUUUAGGGGAAGUAAAAGUCGUANCA
rnacentral:rRNA from 1 species